AACGCGAAGAACCUUACCCAGGCUUGACAUACAGAGGACGGACGUAGAAAUACGUAAUCCCUUCGGGGCCUCUGAACAGGUGCUGCAUGGCUGUCGUCAGCUCGUGCCGUGAGGUGUUGGGUUAAGUCCCGCAACGAGCGCAACCCUUAUCGUUAGUUGCCAACAUUUAUGGUGGGAACUCUAGCGAGACUGCCCGGGUUAACCGGGAGGAAGGUGAGGAUGACGUCAAGUCCGCAUGGCCCUUAUGUCUGGGGCUACACACGUGCUACAAUGGUCGGUACAGAAGGCAGCGAAACCGCGAGGUGAAGCAAAUCCCGAAAGCCGGCCCCAGUUCAGAUUGUAGUCUGCAACUCGACUACAUGAAGCCGGAAUUGCUAGUAAUGGCGAGUCAGCACAUCGCCGUGAAUACGUUCCCGGGCCUUGACACACCGCUACAGU
rnacentral:rRNA from 1 species